rnacentral:rRNA from 1 species
AUGCACGCUGGCGGCGUGCCUCAUCCAUGCAAGUCGAGCGAACAGAUAAGGAGCUUGCUCCUUUGACGUUAGCGGCGGACGGGUGAGUAACACGUGGAUAACCUACCUAUAAGACUGGGAUAACUUCGGGAAACCGGAGCUAAUACCGGAUAACAUAUUGAACCGCAUGGUUCAAUAGUGAAAGGCGGCUUUGCUGUCACUUAUAGAUGGAUCCGCGCCGUAUUAGCUAGUUGGUAAGGUAACGGCUUACCAAGGCAACGAUACGUAGCCGACCUGAGAGGGUGAUCGGCCACACUGGAACUGAGACACGGUCCAGACUCCUACGGGAGGCAGCAGUAGGGAAUCUUCCGCAAUGGGCGAAAGCCUGACGGAGCAACGCCGCGUGAGUGAUGAAGGUCUUCGGAUCGUAAAACUCUGUUAUCAGGGAAGAACAAAUGUGUAAGUAACUGUGCACAUCUUGACGGUACCUGAUCAGAAAGCCACGGCUAACUACGUG